AUCUUGCGCGGCCGGGGCGGGGCCCCAGGUCGCUCCGGCAACAUGGCGGAGGCUGAGGGGGAGAGCCUAGAGUCGUGGCUGAAUAAAGCCACCAACCCAUCCAACAGGCAAGAAGACUGGGAAUACAUCAUCGGAUUCUGUGACCAGAUCAACAAGGAACUUGAAGGGCCACAGAUAGCUGUGAGACUCCUGGCUCAUAAAAUCCAGUCACCACAGGAAUGGGAGGCAGUCCAAGCCUUGACAGUGCUGGAAGCUUGUAUGAAGAAUUGUGGGAGAAGAUUUCAUAAUGAAGUUGGGAAGUUUCGCUUUUUAAAUGAGUUAAUAAAAGUUGUGUCUCCAAAGUACCUGGGGGACCGAGUCUCAGAGAAGGUGAAGUCCAAAGUGAUUGAAUUGCUGUACAGCUGGACUGUGGCAUUGCCAGAGGAAUCCAAAAUCAAGGAUGCCUACUACAUGUUGAAGAGACAAGGGAUUGUCGUGUUUGAUCCCGUGAUUCCUGCAGACAGAGCACUGAUUCCUUCCCCACCGCCUCGUCCCAAGAACCCGGUGUUUGAUGAUGAGGAGAAAUCCAAGCUCCUAGCCAAGCUGCUGAAAAGCAAAAACCCAGAUGAUUUACAAGAGGCCAACAAACUUAUAAAAUCCAUGGUAAAAGAGGAUGAGGCUCGGAUCCAGAAGGUGACAAAGCGCAUGCACACGCUGGAGGAGGUGAACAACAAUGUGAAGCUGCUGAAUGAGAUGCUGGUUCAUUACAGCAAAGAGGAAUCAUCAGAGGCUGACAGGGAACUCAUGAAGGAGCUCUACGAAAGGUGUGAAACCAAAAGACGGACACUGUUCAAGCUGGCCAGUGAGACAGAGGAUAAUGACAGCAGUUUGGGGGACAUUCUGCAGGCCAGUGACAAUUUAUCACGUGUGAUAAAUUCCUAUAAAAAAAUAAUAGAGGGGCAAGUGAUCAAUGGUGAAGUGGAUCUCCCUGGGAUGUCUGUAGUGGAAGGGAGCAACUCCACCAGUAAUCUCAACACCCUCAUUGACCUUGCUGGACUGGAUGUCACCAGCGUGCCGCCACCUCCGCUGCCCCCUGGCAGCCUGGCAACAGCCCCUGGCACAGCCCCUGGCCCAGCUGAGAUCCCCAUCCUCCCUCCUCCUCCCCAGGCGUUCGCACCACUCCGCAGCGCCUCCUCCAGCCAGGUGGAAACAGCACCCACUCAGCCAGGCAGCACAACCAACUCCCUGUCCUUGCUGGAUGAGGAGCUCCUGUGCUUGGGCCUGAAUGACCCAGCCCCUGCAGCAGGGAAGGAGACCUCAGAGAACAACCAGUGGAGCAUGUUUGAGAAUGAGCAGUUGGACCUGGAUUUCUUUAAUCCGAAGACAGUGACUGUUGCUUGCAACCCUACAGGGAACCCUCUUCUCCAUCACACAUCACAGACCACGUGUGGGACAUCAGCCACACUGCCUUCUGCUUUCUCAGCCUCCCAGGCUGCUCCCAGCAUCCCAGCACCAAACUCAGCACCGUUUGUAUUUCCUGCUGUACCAGCUGCCCCUGCAGGGCCUCCUAAGACAAUUCCAGCUGCUCCUGGCUACUUCAGCUUGUCUGUGGGGGGCAAUAUGUCACAUAAGAUGGAUGCAUUGGGACAACUCCUUGAAGAAGCCAAAGGGAGUGCCACCCAAGGCAUGGCGACACCUUCAGUGUUCCCUGGGGUUACUUUGCCAACCACUGUCACCCCUGCCCCAUCAACAGCACCUUCAGGGCUGGCAGCCAGUGCCUCUGGGGCCCCUCCAGCUCCCUUCCCAAGCAGCUGCCCUGCUGGAUCAGGAAGUCCUCUCUUCCAGCCGGCAUCAUUCCAGCAGCAAGGCAGUCCCGUGAAAGCACCUGAAAUUUCUUUGGCCAAUGUCCAUGUUCCCUUGGAAUCCAUUAAACCCAACCAUCUCCUGCAGCAUGUGCCUGGAUCCUCUCCCUUCUCUCCCUAUGGCAGGCAGUGCCCUGCCCGUGACAGCCUACGACAAGAACGGGUUCCGGAUCCUGCUGCACUUUGCCCGGGAGUGCCCGCCGGGGCGCUCGGAUGUGCUGGUCGUGGUGGUGUCCAUGCUGAACACGGCACCACUGCCCAUCAGGAACAUCGUGCUGCAGGCGGCCGUGCCCAAGUCCAUGAAGGUGAAGCUACAGCCACCCUCUGGCACUGAGCUGUCCCCGUUCAAUCCCAUCCAGCCACCAGCUGCCAUCACCCAGGUCAUGCUUCUGGCAAAUCCUGCGAAGGAGAAGGUGAGGCUGAGGUACAGACUGACCUUCACCCUGGGAGAUCAGCCCAGCACAGAAGUGGGCGAAGUGGAUCAGUUUCCCCCGGUAGAGCAGUGGGGGAAUCUAUGACCUUAGGACACUGCCAGAGACUCUGACAGGACCAGGGCAGGAUCCCACAGGACUGGAACAGAUGUGCCGUGGGGAGGGACACACAUGCUAUCCACUGGUGAUGUUCAGCUUUGUUUACAUGUCCUGACCACUCUGCUUGUAGCUUUAGUCCAGAAUGUUGUGCCCCACAUUUGAAGGGGCCCUGGAACACUUAUGCCAAGCAUGAACUGAGAGGCAGCCAGCGACAGGCGGUGCUGGCUGCUUUUACUUUGACCUCUGGGUGAAUCUGGUUCUAUCUUCCACUCUAUUAAACUUGAAGUUAUUGUAUUUUGAGGGAAGACCUGUCAGCAGAAGGGGAUUUAGUUGGCUUUUCCUGCACUGCUGUCCAGAGAUCCCGACAGGCUGUGGGGUGAUGAUGCCGUGAGCUCAGUGCAGAGCCCUGACAGAGCCCUCCCUGGGACUGUGACCUCCUUGUGCCACACGAGCCCGUGAGCAUGCUGAGCAAUAAUGCUGCUCCAUGAGGGAAUGCUUCCUUUUUUACACUGAAAUAGCACUUAGCUCCCUUCCCCCUCUCCUGCUUCAUUCCCAAGGGCCCGUGUAAGCAGCCCCUCACUCUGUGUGUGCCAUACUGCUGUAUCUUUACUUGUUAUAUUUAUUUUACGCUGCUGGCUGCUGCCCUGGGGCAUCCAUUUGGGGCAGCUGGUGCUGAGUUUUGUCUGCAAAUGGUUACAAGGGUUAUUUUUUUUUUGCCUUCAUUGCAUUCCAUAGUGUGGGGAAAAGAAGAAACGCAUAGUGAGGAGGAAAGAGGGCUGGAGGGUAUUGGUCAGUAUUGGAGGAGGACAGCACCUGGAGCACAGAACUGUCUUUACAAUCACUAGUCAGGGCAAGUGACUGAAUCCAGGGAUAAGGAGAGAUGCCUCUCAUGUCCCCUCAUGCAGGCAGUGCUACUGGUAUAGUCAAAUACUGUUUUAUUGAGCUGAGUACAAUGGCAUACAAGAUGUAAAUAAUAGAGCCAUAGAGUAUUAAAACAGAACAAGCAGGCAGAGAAAGGAAGAGGCUCCCCUGGGCUGUGAUGGGGCAUGUGCUGGGUUAAUGCCCCAUUUUCUUUGUUCCCUGUAAUAAGUGGCAAAGUGCAAUUAUCCCCACAAAGGGGAAAAACAGUUUUGCUGGACAUCAGUGCUUAUAGAAGAGCUGAUCCCUUAGCUGCAGCCUCCUAGAAAUAACGUUUAAAUCACCAAAACUUGGUUCCAGCAGCCCCUUAUUUCUUCUUAGCUUCCAGUCGCAAGCAGUGCCUGUGAGCUUUGACAGACUGUUGUAAAUUAAUGGGGGUUUUUAACACCCAUUGACACAAACACAUAGAGGUGCCUGCUCAGUCCUUGGACACUCAGCUCUGCAUUUCCAGCAGGGCUGUCAAGCAACAGCUCUUCCCAAAUGUGGAGUGGGAGCAGCACAGAGAAAAGCAGUACAGAGGCUCCUGCCUCAUGCAGGAAAACUCCCCAGGAGAACAUGAUGCUGCAAACACAGCUUGCAGCUUUUGCAGUUAUUCAUAGUUAAAUUUUCUUUACUAUGCUGCAGAGUAAAAAUCCCUAUAAAUGAAAAACUGGGAUUCACAAGUCUGUGGCCCUCAAUAGAGACACCGGGCAGCUGCAGGAGGCCCUGAAGGUGGAAUCCAGGCUUGUCCUGGUCUGAAGCCUGUGGAGAUCUCAGCCUUGUCAGCUCUCUGAUGCAGAAGCCAGGGGAGAGGGAUGGGUUGUUUGGAUCCUAAAGAAAGCUGGUUUAAAUUGAUGGACUGGGAGAUAAUUGACAAGGAGAGAAUUCUGUCUCAGACAUGUUCUUGCCAGCACUUUAGACACAGCAGGCAUGGGGGCAAUGUGUGGGUGGUGUGUCCUGAGGAGCAGGGUCACUGCUUCCCUGCAUGUGGAUCUCACUGUGACUUGAAGGAAGGCGGGAGAGCACAGGUGCUUUCAGCAGCAGCAGCCACCUGGACAUGGACAUGCACCAAGGUCCUGCUACUUUGGAAAUUAAAACUAUGAAUGUUCCUUGUCUGUAGGGUGAGGUUCCUGCUUCAUCCCCAGCAGUCCUACCUGUACAUACAUCUCCAAUGCAUUUGUGCUGCUGCAUGUUGAAUAAAUAAUUUUCCCUA